rnacentral:rRNA from 1 species
AUACGUAGGUGGCAAGCGUUAUCCGGAUUUACUGGGUGUAAAGGGCGCGUAGGCGGGGGUGCAAGUCAGAUGUGAAAUCUAUGGGCUUAACUCAUAAACUGCAUUUGAAACUGUAUCUCUUGAGUGCUGGAGAGGUAGACGGAAUUCCUUGUGUAGCGGUGAAAUGCGUAGAUAUAAGGAAGAACACCAGUGGCGAAGGCGGUCUACUGGACAGUAACUGACGCUCAUGCACGAAAGUGCGGGGAUCGAACAGGAUUAGAUACCCUAGUAGUCCACGCCGUAAACGAUGAGUACUAAGUGUCGGGUAACCGGUGCUGAAGUUAACACAUUAAGUACUCCGCCUGAGUAGUACGGUCGCAAGGCUGAAACUCAAAUGAAUUGACGGGG